UACAGAGGGGGCAAGCGUUGUUCGGAAUUACUGGGCGUAAAGGGCGCGUAGGCGGCCUUCUAAGUCGAACGUGAAAUCCCUGGGCUCAACCCAGGAACUGCGUCCGAUACUGGAAGGCUUGAAUCCGGGAGAGGGAUGCGGAAUUCCAGGUGUAGCGGUGAAAUGCGUAGAUAUCUGGAGGAACACCGGUGGCGAAGGCGGCAUCCUGGGCCGGCAUUGACGCUGAGGCGCGAAAGCCAGGGGAGCAAACGGG
rnacentral:rRNA from 1 species